rnacentral:rRNA from 1 species
GUGCCAGCAGCCGCGGUAAUACGUAGGGUCCGAGCGUUGUCCGGAGUUACUGGGCGUAAAGCGCGCGCAGGCGGCGGUGUUGGCCCGGCGUGAAAGCCCCCGGCUCAACCGGGGAGAGUCGUCGGGGACCGCACCGCUUGAGGGCGGUAGGGGCUGGUGGAAUGCCUGGUGUAGUGGUGAAAUGCGUAGAGAUCAGGCAGAACACCUGGGGCGAAGGCGGCCAGCUGGGCCGUCCCUGACGCUGAGGCGCGAAGGCGUGGGGAGCGAACGGGAUUAGAAACCCCGGUAGUCC